rnacentral:rRNA from 1 species
UACGUAGGGUGCAAGCGUUGCUCGGAAUCACUGGGCGUAAAGGGCGCGUAGGCGGAUCUUUAAGUCGGGGGUGAAAGCCUGAGGCUCAACCUCAGAAUUGCCUUCGAUACUGGAGAUCUUGAGACCGGAAGAGGUAAGUGGAACUGCGAGUGUAGAGGUGAAAUUCGUAGAUAUUCGCAAGAACACCAGUGGCGAAGGCGGCUUACUGGUCCGGUUCUGACGCUGAGGCGCGAAAGCGUGGGUAGCAAACAGG